rnacentral:rRNA from 1 species
GACGAACGCUGGCGGCGUGCUUAACACAUGCAAGUCGAACGGAAAGGCCCUGCUUUUGUGGGGUGCUCGAAUGGCGAACGGGUGAGUAACACGUGAGUAACCUGCCCUUGACUUUGGGAUAACUUCAGGAAACUGGGGCUAAUACCGGAUAGGAGCUCCUGCUGCAUGGUGGGGGUUGGAAAGUUUCGGCGGUUGGGGAUGGACUCGCGGCUUAUCAGCUUGUUGGUGGGGUAGUGGCUUACCAAGGCUUUGACGGGUAGCCGGCCUGAGAGGGUGAUCGGCCACAUUGGGACUGAGAUACGGCCCAGACUCCUACGGGAGGCAGCAGUGGGGAAUAUUGCACAAUGGGCGGAAGCCUGAUGCAGCAACGCCGCGUGCGGGAUGACGGCCUUCGGGUUGUAAACCGCUUUCGCCUGUGACGAAGCGUGAGUGACGGUAAUGGGUAAAGAAGCACCGGCUAACUACGUG